ACCGCGUCCCGCCGAGAGCCUCCCGCGCGGUGGGGCCGCUCGGAGACCCGCCGAGGCCGAGGACCCGGGGGAAGGUGCCCGCGGACGGCUGCGGCCCGAGGGCUUCGGCUGGCAGGAUUAGGUAUUGUAAAGUGCUCCGCUCUUUCAUUCCUGCCUUAAAAUUUUCUAAAGUGCUGAUUUCACCCUUUGAACUUUAACGUCAGGUAAGUGUGUCUGUUUAUUUGCUGUAAUCAAUAAUAAUGGCUCAUGCAUGAAAA
rnacentral:lncRNA from 1 species